GCGAUGCAGUCAUACCGGUCAGUCUCCGUCAUGCUCCCCGGUGGGAAGUUUGUUUUCCUUUCCUUGCAUCAUUGACGCGGCCACCCUGUCGCUCCUCCUCUCCUCUCUCCUUUACGACACCCGUUUCCCAACCACCCCACUGCGUGGAACUAGGGAAGAGUGCGUGUGAUUGGUAUAGCUGGAAAGCGCCGCUGUGAGCCAGCUUCACUGCUCACUGGAACCGGAUCGAAUCUUAGAGCGUCUAGGUGGGGCUGCUUCUCAGGUCUACUCCUCUCUUUCUCUACUUGCGAACUAUUUUACGCCCAAGAUACGAGAGAGCGGCCGAGCGGUAACCAGAAAGGUGGAAGGCGGACGGAACGACACGUGUGAAGCUGCUACAGCACAAGAAACAAUUAAAAAAUGGAAGGAAAAUGUCCUAGCCACUGAGAAGAGUAUUCUUCUUGCAUGCUUCCAGAACCGUUGUUGAUUAUUGAAUCUCAUUAUAUUGAGAAUUCCGCACGAUAGCUCUACUAAUGUUUGCUUGAAGCACAACUAUUUAGCUAAAUUGAAAGUAUGUGUGUUUCCUUUCCUGCUAAAUAAAAUUACUUUAUAUACA